rnacentral:rRNA from 1 species
GACGAACGCUGGCGGCGUGCUUAACACAUGCAAGUCGAACGGAAAGGCCCUGCUUUUGUGGGGUGCUCGAGUGGCGAACGGGUGAGUAACACGUGAGUAACCUGCCCUUGACUUUGGGAUAACUUCGGGAAACUGGGGCUAAUACCGGAUAGGAGCUCCUGCUGCAUGGUGGGGGUUGGAAAGUUUCGGCGGUUGGGGAUGGACUCGCGGCUUAUCAGCUUGUUGGUGGGGUAGUGGCUUACCAAGGCUUUGACGGGUAGCCGGCCUGAGAGGGUGACCGGCCACAUUGGGACUGAGAUACGGCCCAGACUCCUACGGGAGGCAGCAGUGGGGAAUAUUGCACAAUGGGCGGAAGCCUGAUGCAGCAACGCCGCGUGCGGGAUGACGGCCUUCGGGUUGUAAACCGCUUUCGCCUGUGACGAGGCGUGAGUGACGGUAAUGGGUAAAGAAGCACCGGCUAACUACGUG